GGAUCAUUACUGAGUUUACGCUCUACAACCCUUUGUGAACAUACCUAUAACUGUUGCUUCGGCGGGUAGGGUCUCCGUGACCCUCCCGGCCUCCCGCCCCCGGGCGGGUCGGCGCCCGCCGGAGGAUAACCAAACUCUGAUUUAACGACGUUUCUUCUGAGUGGUACAAGCAAAUAAUCAAAACUUUUAACAACGGAUCUCUUGGUUCUGGCAUCGAUGAAGAACGCAGCGAAAUGCGAUAAGUAAUGUGAAUUGCAGAAUUCAGUGAAUCAUCGAAUCUUUGAACGCACAUUGCGCCCGCCAGCAUUCUGGCGGGCAUGCCUGUUCGAGCGUCAUUUCAACCCUCAAGCUCUGCUUGGUGUUGGGGCCCUACAGCUGAUGUAGGCCCUCAAAGGUAGUGGCGGACCCUCCCGGAGCCUCCUUUGCGUAGUAACUUUACGUCUCGCACUGGGAUCCGGAGGGACUCUUGCCGUAAAACCCCCAAUUUUCCAAAGGUUGACCUCGGAUCAGGUAGGAAUACCCGCUGAACUUAAGCAUAUCAAUAAGCGGAGGAAAAGAAACCAACAGGGAUUGCCUCAGUAACGGCGAGUGAAGCGGCAACAGCUCAAAUUUGAAAUCUGGCCCUAGGCCCGAGUUGUAAUUUGCAGAGGAUGCUUUUGGUGCGGUGCCUUCCAAGUUCCCUAGAACGGGACGCCAGAGAGGGUGAGAGCCCCGUACAGUUGGACACCAAGCCUUUGUAAAGCUCCUUCGACGAGUCGAGUAGUUUGGGAAUGCUGCUCAAAAUGGGAGGUAUAUUUCUUCUAAAGCUAAAUACCGGCCAGAGACCGAUAGCGCACAAGUAGAGUGAUCGAAAGAUGAAAAGCACUUUGAAAAGAGGGUUAAACAGCACGUGAAAUUGUUAAAAGGGAAGCGCUUGUGACCAGACUUGCGUCCGGUGAAUCACCCAGCUCUCGCGGCUGGGGCACUUCGCCGGCUCAGGCCAGCAUCAGCUCGCUGUCGGGGACAAAAGCUUCAGGAACGUAGCUCUCUUCGGGGAGUGUUAUAGCCUGUUGCAUAAUACC
rnacentral:rRNA from 1 species